rnacentral:rRNA from 1 species
GACGUAGGGCGCGAGCGUUGUCCGGAUUUAUUGGGCGUAAAGAGCUCGUAGGCGGCUCGUUGCGUCAAUCGUGAAAACCUACUGCUUAACGGUGGGCUUGCGGUUGAUACGGGCGGGCUGGAGUUCGGUAGGGGAGACUGGAAUUCCUGGUGUAGCGGUGGAAUGCGCAGAUAUCAGGAGGAACACCGGUGGCGAAGGCGGGUCUCUGGACCAGCACUGACACUGAGGCACGAAAGCGUGGGGGAGCAAACAGG